rnacentral:rRNA from 1 species
UACGAAGGGGGCUAGCGUUGCUCGGAAUCACUGGGCGUAAAGCGCACGUAGGCGGCUUUUUAAGUCAGGGGUGAAAUCCUGGAGCUCAACUCCAGAACUGCCUUUGAUACUGGGAAGCUUGAGUCCGGGAGAGGUGAGUGGAACUCCGAGUGUAGAGGUGAAAUUCGUAGAUAUUGGGAAGAACACCGGUGGCGAAGGCGGCCAUCUGGACCGCAACUGACGCUGAGGCGCGAAAGCGUGGGGAGCAAACAGG